rnacentral:rRNA from 1 species
UACGGAGGGUGCGAGCGUUGUCCGGAAUCAUUGGGCGUAAAGGGCGCGUAGGUGGCGGGACAAGCGUGCGGUGAAAGCUCGGGGCUCAACCCCGAGUCGGCCGUGCGAACUGUUUUGCUUGAGCACUGUAGAGGCAGGCGGAAUUCCGGGUGUAGCGGUGAAAUGCGUAGAUAUCUGGAGGAACACCGGUGGCGAAGGCGGCAUCCUGGACCGAUACUGACGCUGAGGUGCGAAAGCGUGGGGAGCAAACAGG